rnacentral:lncRNA from 1 species
CGCCAGCUCCCCGAGGCCCCGAAAGCGCCUGGGCGCAGCUGGGGAGAGGCGCCGGUCCUCAUCCAGAGGGACCGCGGCGUGGGCUGAGCGCGCUUAGGGGCGCCGCCGGCACUGACUUGCAGGUGACGGGAACCCAAGUUCAGAACCUUGGGCAAGGGAUGCUCCGGCCCACCAAGUCCUGAACCGUCACGUGCCUGGGGGUUGCAAGGCCAAGCAGCCCUUGCUUGUCGUGGUUGGGGGCAGUGGCCAGGAGAAGGCAACUGUUGAUUGAGUCCAACGGAAGGGGUCGGAGGGGCUGUGUGGAGGGUGGCACUGCACUAGGCCUUGGAAGGUGGGUGUGGAGAGAACAGGCGGAUUUGGAGGCAGUUCCAG